AUUAUUUUAUACCCUUUGCAUAUUUGAUGGUAUUUCAUUUAGCUGCAAUGUUAUUCCAAUACGUUCUUUGUGAAAUCCUUAGGUGGCCAACCACGAGACCACGGCUGCUUCUAUGUUCCUCAUUUCUUCAUAUUAAGCUUACAGGGGACCCCUGAAUUCCCAUUGCAUUGUCAUCACAGGGUUUUGAAGCAACUUGUACUUCUUUUACCAUAAGAGUUGUGCAAUGCCCAAAUGGUAUUAUCAACCAAGGCUUUUCUGCUAUCCAAAUAUUCUUGGGUAAUCCAAAGUCACAUCAAAAUGUACAAACGUUUAUCAUAUGCUAUCCAUUUAGCUGGGAUCUCUAAUGGAACAAUUGCCAUACCAGGGGUUUUCUAGUGUCUAGUUUUAGUUUUAUAAUUAGUGUCUGAUCAGUCAUUGUCCAUGAUAGACAAUUGUUAACUAUUCAGAUGAUCUUUUCUGUCAAAGACCUUAAUUUCAUAAACACAAAGUACAUAUUUCAACACAUUAUUUGGCUUCUAGAAACUUUUCUUAUGGCUCCCCUUCUUGAAAAUAUUUUUUUCUUGAUAACUUCACCGCCUAUCCCAAAACCUGUAAGAACUAAUGAUAAUCCAUCUCCCUUCGCUGACUCUCUUUUCGGACUCAGCCCACCUGCACCCAGGUGAAAUAAACAGCUUUACUGCUCACACAAAGCCUGUUUGGUGGUCUCUUCACAUGGACGCACAUGAAAUUUGGUGCCCUGACUGAGAUCGGGGGACCUCCCUUGGGAGAUCAAUCCCUUCCUCUUGUUCUUUGCUCACUACAAAUACCUCUGUGCACACAAACUAGAAACCCAGGAGAAACAGGUGACUUCCUGGACACAUUUAAACUCCCAGGAUUGAACCAGGAAUAAAUUGAAUCCCUGAACAGACCAAUUACAAGUUCUGAAGUUAAAUUGGUUAAAAAAAAAAAAUAAAGGCCUAACAACCAGAAAAAAAAGUCUAGGACCUGAUGGAUUCACAGCCAAUUUCUAUGAGAUAUAUAAAGAAGAGUGGGUACCAUUCUCACAGAAACUAUUCCAAAAGUUUGAGGAAGAGGGACUCCUUCCUAACUCAUUCUAUGAGACC
rnacentral:lncRNA from 10 species